CACAAGUGUGCUCUGUGCUUUAUCUGGGGGCGGCUGCCUCAUGCACUGUGUCCCAUCAGGUUUCCCACAGUCGGCAGGAGCCCUGUGCAGACAGAAUGCGGUCCUACAGAGACUCUCUCUCUCUGGUUGCAGACGGACUCGAGAUCCAGCGAAAACGUGCCCCUGGAGGAUGCAUGGGAGGAGCUUCCUGGUGACACGGAGGAUAAAGAAACUCCAGAGUACACUGAGGUGAUCUCAAUACGAACAGCAAAUGAUUGGGUCUUACAGAGCGUUUCUGACUAUACCAGUGACGAUGAAGCCUCUUCAGGUAGGAGCAACACCCACAAAGACCAGAGGGUCAAAUUAGGGCAAUGCUUGGGUUAUCUGCUGCUGUGGACCCCUGAGAGGACAUAGGAACAGAGGAGGAAAAAAGACAUUGUAUGUAGACGUCUGAUUUGUUCUUUUUUAUAUUAAUUAUAGAGUAGGAAGAGGUUUUAUGCCCAUGGGAUUGGAGCAAUAGAAAUUGUUAACUAUCAUUUCUUGCUUUACUAUUUAAAACUUUACAUUUUCUUUUAUACUGACCACCCCGGCUUUGCCAUUGCAAAGAUCAAAUCCACUGCAUUGUGACAGGACAGCACUGCCUUCAAAUUGAACACAAGAGAUGUCUGGGUUUAUCACUGACCAUUGUCUUCGUCCAUUUCUGGCCACAACGUAAUACCUGAGAUUCUGUAAUUAAUCAGGAACAGAAAUUUCUUUCUUACAAGGUUGAAGGUCAAAGAGCAAGGUGCUGCCAUUGUGUCUCAGUAAGGGCUCCUUGCUUCAUCCUCAGCUCAGGGCAGAAGGAAGAGGAGCACCCACCCCCCACACCCUCAGGGUCAGUUGAGUUAAAGAAUACUUGCUCUGGGCUGACUGGGGAGGCCCCAGCAUCUUAGAGUUGUGAGGGCCAAGCAUUACUCUGGGUUCAUCUUGGCUUCCACAUCUCAUCCAAGUCUAGUGUUUGGAGUAGACUGUGUGACAGGCCAUUAUCCAGCUGCUACUGGAGACACUGCAUAGCUGUACAGGCUGCCCAGAGGAUGUGUGUUAGGGGAUCCUGGGCUGGACACACACACGGUCCUGCUGACCUCAUCUGCUGGAUUGCACUGGGCUCAGUGGAGGGCCUCUGGGCAGCAGGACUGGGCAUCACUGUUCCCCUCAGAUGCACUGCUUCAAACACAGCCUGUUCCCCCUCCAGUCAUGCCUAGCACGUUCCCUGUCCUCAGGCCUGCCAAUGUCCUACUUCCCAGUCCUCCCACUGCUCAGGAAAACCCUAGAAAGUCCCAUUUAUUGAUAUGGCCAAGAAUGCACCUGCUGUGGAUAC
rnacentral:lncRNA from 1 species